GAUUAAGUUAUUAAGGGCGCACGGUGGAUGCCUUGGCACUAGAAGCCGAUGAAGGACGUUACUAACGACGAUAUGCUUUGGGGAGCUGUAAGUAAGCUUUGAUCCAGAGAUUUCCGAAUGGGGAAACCCAGCAUGAGUUAUGUCAUGUUAUCGAUAUGUGAAUACAUAGCAUAUCAGAAGGCACACCCGGAGAACUGAAACAUCUUAGUACCCGGAGGAAGAGAAAGAAAAUUCGAUUCCCUUAGUAGCGGCGAGCGAAACGGGAAGAGCCCAAACCAACAAGCUUGCUUGUUGGGGUUGUAGGACACUCUAUACGGAGUUACAAAGGACGACAUUAGACGAAUCAUCUGGAAAGAUGAAUCAAAGAAGGUAAUAAUCCUGUAGUCGAAAAUGUUGUCUCUCUUGAGUGGAUCCUGAGUACGACGGAGCACGUGAAAUUCCGUCGGAAUCUGGGAGGACCAUCUCCUAAGGCUAAAUACUCUCUAGUGACCGAUAGUGAACCAGUACCGUGAGGGAAAGGUGAAAAGCACCCCGGAAGGGGAGUGAAAUAGAACCUGAAACCGUGUGCUUACAAGUAGUCAGAGCCCGUUAAUGGGUGAUGGCGUGCCUUUUGUAGAAUGAACCGGCGAGUUACGAUUUGAUGCAAGGUUAAGCAGUAAAUGUGGAGCCGUAGCGAAAGCGAGUCUGAAUAGGGCGUUUAGUAUUUGGUCGUAGACCCGAAACCAGGUGAUCUACCCUUGGUCAGGUUGAAGUUCAGGUAACACUGAAUGGAGGACCGAACCGACUUACGUUGAAAAGUGAGCGGAUGAACUGAGGGUAGCGGAGAAAUUCCAAUCGAACCUGGAGAUAGCUGGUUCUCUCCGAAAUAGCUUUAGGGCUAGCCUCAAGUGAUGAUUAUUGGAGGUAGAGCACUGUUUGGACGAGGGGCCCCUCUCGGGUUACCGAAUUCAGACAAACUCCGAAUGCCAAUUAAUUUAACUUGGGAGUCAGAACAUGGGUGAUAAGGUCCGUGUUCGAAAGGGAAACAGCCCAGACCACCAGCUAAGGUCCCAAAAUAUAUGUUAAGUGGAAAAGGAUGUGGCGUUGCCCAGACAACUAGGAUGUUGGCUUAGAAGCAGCCAUCAUUUAAAGAGUGCGUAAUAGCUCACUAGUCGAGUGACACUGCGCCGAAAAUGUACCGGGGCUAAACAUAUUACCGAAGCUGUGGAUUGUCCUUUGGACAAUGGUAGGAGAGCGUUCUAAGGGCGUUGAAGCAUGAUCGUAAGGACAUGUGGAGCGCUUAGAAGUGAGAAUGCCGGUGUGAGUAGCGAAAGACGGGUGAGAAUCCCGUCCACCGAUUGACUAAGGUUUCCAGAGGAAGGCUCGUCCGCUCUGGGUUAGUCGGGUCCUAAGC
rnacentral:rRNA from 1 species